GUCCCUCGAGGCCCUCAAGAAACUCGGGGAGACGGACGCUGGAACAAAAGUCACGGAAAGUGAGAUGAGCGCUCUAAUGAGGCACAGACCCAGCCACGAGGGGGCAUCGUGAAAAGAAUUCCGGGCCUCAGAGGAACAACACCUGAGCAUCGGGGCAGCGCAGGACUGAGGCCAAGGCCUUGCCUCCUGCGUGGGCCGGCCGGUCGCUGGGGAUCUGGAGCUGGAGGCGGGCGGGUAGGGCUGCCGUGCUGCUAACGGGGCUCGGACCCUGGGCUCUCCAGCGAGGCACAAGGGGACAAGGAUUCGAGCCCUGGUCUGGGAAGAUCCCACAUGCUGCGGAGCAAAUAAGCCCGUGCGCCACAACUACUGAGGCUGCACUCUAGAGCCCGCAAGCCACAGCUACUGAAGCCCGCGCGCCUAGAGCCCGUGCUCCACAACAAGAGAAGCCACUGCAAUGAGAAGCCCGCGCACCGCAACGAAGAGUAGCCCCCGCUCGCUGCAACUAGAGAAAAGCCCGCGCGCAGCAACGAAGACCCACCGCAGCCAAAAAUAAAAUAAAUAAAUAAAUAAAGUAGAAUGAGUUAAAAUUGGAAGCCACCAUUUGCAUUGUUAAUAUCUUCUGAACUGCAUCAUAAUUCAAAGCUCUUUGAGGGAACGUACGUGGCUAUUGGCUCUCAGUUUCAAAACGGCCAGUUAGAGCUCCUGCCCAUUCUAGCCCAUUCAUAAUGCUGAAACGUUCACGCCACUCUAGAAGACACUCGAACCAGCCCCUGGGCUCCAGCAGUCGCCAGGCCUCUUAGGGCGGGGGCACAGGGUGCUGCCUCAUCCUUGCUGUCAUCUAAGCCUCAGGCUACACACCCUGUCCUUCAGCAGGUUACUUCUGGGCCUUCCCCUAAGGAUGCAUCAUUAUCCCUCCCUGGCAUCUGAUCUCCAGCCAGAGGCAGCCUGAUCCUGGGCUAAGCCCCUCCUGCCAGGUGAGCUCCUCACCUCGGCCUCUUUCCAAUGCGGCAGCCCAGACCACGGCCUGUGUGGAGAGGGCGAGAGAGCCGUAGUCCCUCCACUCAGCCCCUGGGUGCAAGUCCUGGGUCAGCCUCCCGUGACCUUGGGCCAGGUCCUCCAUCUCCAGGCCUCAGAAAGUGGGAGUUGUGGGUGCCGACAGACCUGUGGUCUGCCAACCGCUGAACAGGUGUCCCAGGAGGAAAAGGAGACGAGCAUCUCUUGGAGCCAUUUAGCCCAUCACGACAGCUCCAAGAACAUUUGACAUCUGUGAAAUAACAUCAUUAGGUAAGUGUUAACUUUUCCCCACUGCUAGGCCCAGUGCUAGUAAAUGUACUGUGACGAGUAUAAUGUGUUUAUGAAAUGUGUAUAAUAAAUUAUCAGAAAGAGCUGCAUUUUUAAUAUUGCUUAAUAUAUCCAGUUUGCCUCUCAGCAGCCACAGGCUAUAUGGCAACCGCUUCCAUCGACUCAUCGUGCAUCAACUUACACGCUUCCCGGGCUGAGGCCCCGGCGUGGGCUGAGGAAGAGGCAGGGGGCGGCCAGAGUGGAUGGCUCCCCUGUCCCUUCCUGAUUUGCCCUCUGUCAUCUGGAAUCGAAAGAAAAAUGGGGCUUUGUUCACCAUCAGGCCCCCUGCAGGACACAGCCUGGAGCCUGUCACAGGGUACGUGCUCAAUAAAUAUUUGUUACAGUGUGGAUUCUUAGAGAAAUGAAUAGACAAGGGCCCCCAGAAGGCCCCUCUCCAUCAAACAGCAAGUGCUUGGAAUUUUUCCAUCAGCCCCUCGUUUGGGUUAAAAUUUCCUAUCAAUACAGAGAAACUUCUAUCAGCACAGCAAGCCCAGAGCUCCUCCAGUAAUCACGGAAGGGUGGAGACUGGGGGUACACGUUAGACCAGGGCCAGGGAGGGUCCUUCCUCCCAGGGCAAACGGACACCAGCCAGAAAUGCCAACCAAGGACGUCCAGCCAAGUGCAGGGUAGGGGUCAUUUCCUCGAAAUGCCUCUCACCUACUGGAAGGAAAGGCUUUAACUGGUGGCUCUCAGCCAGGAAAGAAGUCACAAUGCCUGAUGUGGGGUGUUUCAGACUCCCUGUUGGGCCCUUGCCAAAGCGCUCUAGAAAUUCCAGCCCUCCCCGCUGAGUGUUGCACAUUGAACGGUGUGGGGACAGCAAAACAGGUGAGAAUAUGAAACCGUUUGCACCUUCUAACCCAGCGAUUCUCAUAAAAAUAAUUGUGCACAAAAAUAAUCUAGGCGUGCUUGGUAAGACGCACCCUGAGUCUUCACGCACGUGUCUGAGUUAGUGGGUGUGAGGUAGGGGCCUGGAAUCUGCAUUAUUAGCAGGCAUCCGAGGGAUACAGGUACGUGGGCCGUCCUUUGAGGAGCCCACUUCUACCUUGUUGGACAGGGGCCUUGUAGUCUGUUGGGGAGGGAGGGGGAGGUCAGAAGCCUGUUAGGAGAAGCACGUGGGGGAGAAUCAAGAGUACAGGGUUCCAUGGACUUCCCUGGCGGUCCAGUGGUUAGGACUCCACGCUUCCACUUUAACGGGCACGGGUUCCGUCCCUGGUCAGGGAACUGAGAUCCCACAUGCUGCGCAGCGCAGCCGAAGAAAAGAGUGCGGGGUUCCUGAGGGCUGUGCGUCUACCCACUUAACUUUGCCAAGGACCAGUCCAGCUGCCGAGCCGCCCACCCCUGUGUGGGGAAUGGAAGGCAACAUGAUUGAUGGGGUCUGGACACGUCCAGCUGUUUAAAGAUCCCCACACAUGCCAGCCGGCACCCCAUCCUUGGCCAGUACGUUCACUUCUCAAGGCACUUUCCCCAGCGUCCUCUUCUGGUCCUGGCAGUGGACAGGAAAAGAAGGCAGCCAACUGCAUUUCACUGGUAGACUGAGGCAGGCAUAGGGCGUCCAACCAUGGUUUGCACCGGGAAGGCAGGGGCAAGAGAAUGACAGUUCACUGAGUGCCUCUUACGUGCCAGGCACUGGGCCAGACGCUUUAUAGGCAUCCGUACCUUCAUUUCUCACGAGGUUGUUCGUGGCCUCCCCCAUUCCACAGGUGACACUGCGGGCCUGAGUUAAGCAACUUGCCCCCAAUCAGACGCAGUUAGGAGGAGGGAGACACUGGCUUUUCAAUCUGUCUGCCUAACUCCCCUGCCCAGACUCUUUCUAGAAACUAGACACCUGCCCAGAUAACACCAAUUUUACCCCUCCAGGGGGCCCUACCCCAUCUCAGCUGGGCUCACAGCUGGAUGAAGUCAGACCGCAGAGUGGCCCUUGACUCUGCCACCUGCUGGAGGUGGGCCUCAGACAUGCCACGUGUUUCUCCAGUGGUCAUCCUGGCAUUCACUGACUGGAGGCUUUGGAGGCUGGGCCCUCCACUCCCACUUCUUCCAGACCCUCCCUAGAGCCAGCACCUGCAGAGCCACGAGCCGGGGGCUGACCUUCCCGAAAGCCAGACCCGCAGAAAGUCGAGAAGCCAGGAGGAAGCGGUCAGCCCCCUCUGUCCCCACCCCCGGUGAACACACGGGUAGAGCCUUGCCAUCAAAAGGGCACAGGACCAGGAUAUCCAGGCUCUCAUUCCCAGUCACUCGACCUCCUGAAGCUUCAGUUUCCCCGUCUGGAAGAUGGUGACAACACUCUCGUGCUCCUCAAGUGAAUGAAUUACGAAAUGAUGGUUCAGUGCCUGUAUUUUACUACCCCGUGUCAUUACAUAAUCGCUUUGUGAUGCAGCCACCUCUAGCACAGAUGUCACUCUGUGCCUAUUUAAGGACUAAUCCCCUUAAGCAUUCCUGGAAAUGGGAAACCCAUUCACUGUGUUAGGCUUCCAGGCUCUCCUGUCCCUCCCUUGGCCUUUGACUCUUGGAAGGCUGAAUUUCUCUCCUACCAGGAUCCCAGGUUGUCCUUAGGGAGCCCCCAGGCUGGUUCAUUCCCACUGUAACCCCUAAGACUCUUGGCCCCCUCUCUCUUCCUUCUCAGUUUGGGCUGUUCCCAGCCAAGAAGCCUCAGGAAGAGCUCUGGGGAGCAAGAUUUUACCUGUGUUUCCAGCUCUGCUCUCUAGGGGUGAGGAGGGAGAGGCAGGGAUGGGGGCGGUGGAAGCCUCCAAAAAGUCAGGACCCCAGCUCUGCCACCAGCCAGCAGGCACCUGGGCAAGUCACUGUGUCUGAGCUUUAAUUUCCUCACCUGCAAAAUGGGAACAUUGUACCCUGCCUACAUCGUGGGGCGAUAAAAGGAAUCAGUGAGAUAACAGCUGUUGAAGGCUCUUGACAGAGUAUACCGUAGGUUUCAAGGGUGGGUGGUGACCUUUACCAUCC